rnacentral:lncRNA from 1 species
AUGGGAUUUCAACAUUCAACAAGAAGAGGUAGAGGAUUGAUACCAUUAAAGCAGUGCAGAGUAUUUUUUUUUUUUUUUUGAUAUACUAAAUGAGGCUAAACCACCUCUUAAUCCAACAUAAGACAAAGACUCGACACCAACAAUAAUAAAGUCAAACAGCAAGACAACCAAACCAGCCAUAGCCAUGGCUUUAUUUAAAUCCUUAAACAAAACAGACAAAAACAACCCUUCUUCAACACAAACAUAUAACUAAUACUCCUUUUCUUCAUUCUCUUUCCAGUUCUUGCCACACUUCAAAACAGACCUUGGGGACCCACAGCAGCUCCCAUCCUUCUUCACAAACUUUUGGUACACAAUUGAACCUUCACAUCCAAGCUCUUCAUAACUCUUCUCUUCCACACUGUACCCCUCGACUUCGAUCGCGCAUGUUGCCUCCAAACGCUUUGAUGCCACGUCAGCACCAACGGCAAUAGAAAACUCACCCGGUUCAAAACAAGCCAGCACCCGUUGCACCAGCUGUUCCAGGCUUACCUCGUUAAAAUCAUAACCGACUGCCUCAAAACUAGCGUAACUGAACCCGUCUUCGGGUGUAACGUGGAUGGUCGAGAUCGCACCGUCUUCAAUAGAGUUCAUGGAAUACCCACACGGGUCAAACUCGAAAUCACAGAUUUCGGACUUCGGUAGGAUAGAUCGAAUGCCGGAUUCGUUAGUCAUGGUUGUAGCCGAGCUCGAUUCGGUUUUGUAGAAAACGGAUGCUUUCUCUCUGUCUAAACUAGUCAUGCACAUCUCGAGUGUGUACACUUGAUCACGAACUGAUACAGGUCCAGCGGAAGCAGAAUAAACGAACCAUUUUUGUGGUUUAUCGAACCCACCCAUCACGUAUGCUUUGCUGGAUAAACCAAGCUUUUCAAAAUGAGCAUCGAGCACAGAAACUUCUUCGGUGAAGCUGCGGUGUGGGUAGGAUUGAGCAUUGGGAAAGAUAAAACUGCCACGAGUGUAUCUCACUGACCGGACAGUGAGAGAAAUUGAUUCCGCA